rnacentral:lncRNA from 1 species
GAGCUGAUCGAUGAGCUCCGGCCGGCUUCUUCGCCAUCAGAUGUGUGGUGCGUGUGGAGUCGCUACGCGAUGAAUUGUACAUAGUGUGUUGUUGUGUAGUGCUGCAGCCUAGGGACACAUGUUGCUGUUCGUCGAGCCUUCGCUCGGCUGUAUCCACUGUUUCUGUUUCUAUCUCUAUCUCUACUACCUAAAAGAAACCUAACAUUUCCUCUUCUGUCUUAAGAUCGUCCUACUUCUCUCACGAGUAAUGCUAAACGUACAAACGAGUUACAAGCUUUUAUAAAGAGAGUUAAUUUGAUUGGUUAAUAGAUGACGAGGCGCCCCCACUUCCCUGAAAAUCAGGGGGGAGGGGGCAAAUUUAUAAUUGGUUAGUAGAUGGAAAAAAUCCUAGUCAGCGUGUAAUUGCGUGUAACUUUUUGUAUGUUUAGCAUUAUUGCUGCUCUCACCCCCACCCGACUGAUUUGUCUCAGUUUUUCUUUUGCGGGUGCUGAUCCAUGUAUGUUACUCCCUCCGUCUCAUUUAAUAUAAGACGUCCUUAUAUUAUGAAACGAAGGAAGUAAUUAGCAACACCAGCGCAUCCCUCUUUUUAAAGCUAACGAAGGAAACCGACCAGCCUUUCCUUGAUUCGUGGCAAGAAGAGCAGCCUAAUUACAGCGGCAGCACAGCACAGGGCCAAGGAGCAUACACGGUGGCGAGUCGCCGCCGGAACUCUCUCUCUACCUACAGAUUUGCACCAAUCUCUCCACCUGAACCCUCUCUUUGAUUUCAUUGCCCUCCUACCAAUCGCCAUGAAUUACCCAUUUACUCGCAUAUUGCCAAGAAUAGAUUUGAGGAUAGUGAAGUUGUAUAGAUUCACCAUGCUUCAUGCUUUCAAAUUAUUAAUUUUCAGGUGACUGGUUGAUAGAUGAUGGAUUUCUAUUACGAGAGGAGAGAAGAAACGAGUUGGAGAGAAGAUUGAUGGCUGCAUGCAGCCAACCGGCUCUUUUGUCCCUGAUCGAUUAUCCCCCAGCUCCCAACCAGGAGUGUGGGACGAGUAGAUGCCGGCGACGACGUGCGCGUCAUGGCAGGCGGGCGUGGACACGUGACGCUAUUCAGGGACAAGCUUGCCAAGGAGAUCGGCGCCGUGAAGUAUGUCAAGCGGGGCUACAAGGUAUAUGUCGUGCGUUUCAACUCCAUUCAUGUGUGUGCUUAGUUUUGGAGUUUGGUCUCGUUGAUGAUUCAUAGUGGAGUAGAAACAGGGCUUUGGAGCAGGCAGGGAAAGUCCAUUAAUCUCGGUGCACCUACGAACCGAGACCAAUGAGGGCAUAGGUCCUGGUUCAUGAGGCCAGGGCACAGGCCGGGUCUCGGGGGCCAUUGGUCCCGGUAUGUGUCUGGAACCGGGACCAAUGGACCUUGCUCCUGGCCCACCACCUUUAGUCCUGGUUGGUGUCUAGAACCGGGACCAAUAAUAUUUUUUUACCCAAACAAAACUAUAAUGUUCUACAAUAGUAAAAAGAAUCAAUUAAAAUGCUUUAAUAAAACUCUAAUAGGAAAAGGAAUCAACUAAAAAGAAUCAAUAAAAAAUAAAAUUUAUGCAACUUAAAUUAGAUAAAAUUUAUGCAACUAAAAAGAAUCAUUUGUAGUAUUAUUGAAACUAAAAUUAUAUAAAACUAUUUUCAUAGUAAAGUUAAUCACAAACCAGUGAUUCACACAAAUUUCAAAGAAUUCAAAUUUAAACUAUUCAAAUUUGAAAAAUAAUGACACUAACAGAAAGUUUAUAAUUUUUCUGACCUAAUUAAAAAAUAAAGCAAAAAAAAUAAAAAUAAAUAAUGAAAAAACAAAACAAAAAUACUAGAAAAAAUUUAAUCAAAUUUAAUAAAAUAAAUAAAACAAAAAACUGGAAAACAAAACAAAANNNNNNNNNNNNNNNNNNNNNNNNNNNNNNNNNNNNNNNNNNNNNNNNNNNNNNNNNNNNNNNNNNNNNNNNNNNNNNNNNNNNNNNNNNNNNNNNNNNNNNNNNNNNNNNNNNNNNNNNNNNNNNNNNNNNNNNNNNNNNNNNNNNNNNNNNNNNNNNNNNNNNNNNNNNNNNNNNNNNNNNNNNNNNNNNNNNNNNNNNNNNNNNNNNNNNNNNNNNNNNNNNNNNNNNNNNNNNAAGUAGAAACAAAAUAAAAUAAAUAAAGCAAAAAAAAAACUAAAAAAAAUAACAAAAAUGCCACCUACUGGGCCACCACGGCCUGAAUAAGAUUAGAGACCCAACCAUGGGCCAGGAUUUAGGCCCACAGAAGGCCCAGUAGGCCCACAGGCAGCACAAUGUGUUUUUAGACCCAGUAAGCCUACAUUUGAGAGGAGCUCGAGAGGGCAGCCGCAAUGGGGCUUAUAAACCACUCCGAGCUCCUCUCAACUAGCGAGGUGGGACUAAACAUUUGGGCGCGGGCAGGACAAGGACUUCGCUCUCGGUUGGUAGAACCAACAGGGACGAAGAGGGGGGGGGGCAUUGGUACCGGUUCGUGGCACCAACCGGGACCAAUGCGCCUUUUUAGUCCCGGUUGGUGCCACCAACCGGGACCAAAGGUCUCAGUUUCCCGCCCGUUAGGCUGCUGAAAAGAGGCCUUUGAUCCCGGUUGAUGUUACAAACCGGGACCAAAGGGGUACAUUCAUCCCGGUUCGUGGCAAGAACCGUGACUAAAGCUUCAUGUAUAUAAGGAACACCUGUGAAAAUUUUGGUUUUCAUCUUGCAGUUUGCCCCCGACGACGCGCGCGCCUCCUCGACGCCGCCAGGCUGUCGGACGCCGUCGCCCCUGCCCCGGAGCCCACGCCGACGCCGUCCGCCGCCCGCGCCGUCGCUGCCCACUCNNNNNNNNNNNNNNNNNNNNNNNNNNNNNNNNNNNNNNNNNNNNNNNNNNNNNNNNNNNNNNNNNNNNNNNNNNNNNNNNNNNNNNNNNNNNNNNNNNNNNNNNNNNNNNNNNNNNNNNNNNNNNNNNNNNNNNNNNNNNNNNNNNNNNNNNNNNNNNNNNNNNNNNNNNNNNNNNNNNNNNNNNNNNNNNNNNNNNNNNNNNNNNNNNNNNNNNNNNNNNNNNNNNNNNNNNNNNNNNNNNNNNNNNNNNNNNNNNNNNNNNNNNNNNNNNNNNNNNNNNNNNNNNNNNNNNNNNNNNNNNNNNNNNNNNNNNNNNNNNNNNNNNNNNNNNNNNNNNNNNNNNNNNNNNNNNNNNNNNNNNNNNNNNNNNNNNNNNNNNNNNNNNNNNNNNNNNNNNNNNNNNNNNNNNNNNNNNNNCCCACUCCGUCGCCCUCACCGCCCCCGCGACGCCCUAGCCGCCCCCGCCGUCGCCCUCGCCGGCCGUCCCCGCUAUGAGCCGCCGCCGCCCCGACUCUCUUUUUUUAUUUUAUUUUCAUAUAUAUAUAUAUGUGUGUGUAUUUUUUUCCAUGUAUAUAUACUAGUAAUUUGUACAUAUUAUUAUGUAUAGUCACAAAUUAGGUUAGUGCAUUAGAUGUUAGGUUAGUGUGCAUUUUAGAUUAGUUGAAUUAGAUGUUUUUAGUAAGUGUUUAAUAGAAUUAGUUAGAAAAAUAAUAAAACUAGUUAAACUAGUUUAUUUUUAGUAAGUAGUACUUUAUUUUAUUUAUUGUAAGUGCUUAGUUGAACUAGUUGAUUUAAUAAAACUACUUUAUUUUACUAUAGAAGUAGUUUAUUUUUAGUAAGAAAAUUAAUAGAACUAGUUUAUUUUUUUAGUUAAAGCAAUUAUUCCCGCAUCGACGUCGAUGAUGCCUAUCCCGCAUCCUCAUCGUCGACUCGGCGGAGGAGGCCUUCUUGAUCAGAUUGCCAUGUCCGGGACUGGGCUCCGCCGGGCUGGUAUUGGGAGUUGCUAUCUUUCGGGAGGUGUAGCUUGGUGAGGAGCCAGCCCGUCGUUGACCCGAACAGGGUUUGGUGGCGGUCGCGUGGGCCAGUGACGGUGCCGAAGCUUUCGGACACCAUAGAGGUGGUACGUCACCGUGUCAGCAAGGAGGACGAGCACGUCUGUUGCUACAUGGUUGCGUUGGAGGGAAGGUUCGACAAUACCUGGCAGGUUCUUUAGGGAUCUCACUGCAGCUAUGAUCCUGUGAUGGUUCCUUCUUUUUGGGUGUCCACCUCCCGCGCCGAUACCUGUCAGGCGCUACAGUUCUAGCUGUAGUAGCGAUGCUAUAUGUAUGAUACUAUUCGAGGUGUAUUAGUGAUAAUAUUCGACGAUGUACGGACGCAAGAGAUGAUGUAGUUUUGCUUAUUAAAUGCAUGCUAAUUUGAAUACUGAUUUAUUUUACGAUUUGGUUUUGCAUAUUGAAUGCUCAAAUUGGAAAACUACUCCUACUUUGAAUGCUAAAAUUAAACGCUCGAUACGUCCUUUUUUAGAUAGAUAAUUAAACGAUAUUUCAGGUUGACUUUAAGUCUGUCGAGGCUCCACUAUGAGAGAGGAUGAAGAAGCCCGACUAUUGUCGUGGGGGUCGUUUCUCCUUAUUCUCCGGGUGCUAGACCUUUGUUAUGCACUAGGGAAAGAAGGAGUAACGACCAUCACCGACGGUCGCAAAUGUCAAAGAGGAAUCAGUGAGAGAGAGUCUCCACCAUAUAGACUCGGCAGACCGAUAGUCGACCCGUGAUGAAUAAUAAUGAUCUAUUUUAAUUUUUAUAGUACAUAUAUUGAAUUGUACAAAUAAUCUUUGAAUUAUGAGCGAAGGAAAUGUCGUCAUCGGACGACGAAAGUCUCCCGGGGGAGUGCAACUGGUGCAACGACGACCAAGGUCUGUGCGACAGGCCUCACCUGGACGAAGAUCGGCGCUUCAACAUUAAGCUCCAAGAGACCUUUGAUGUUGAAAUGUAUGCAAUGACGAAAAGUGUUUUUUCGUAAUUAAGCAUGACUUCAACUAUUUCAACGUGUAAUUUUCAUCUUUUACAAUUCGAGUAGCUUAUCUCAUGCCAUGCAAGACACUAUGUCUUGGAGAGGAUGGAUUUUAAAGACCAUAAAAAUUUCGAAACAAAGAAAAUUCACCUAAGGACCCAUCAUGAUGUGGAUUUUGAAGUAAAGAUGUAUAAUUCUGAGAGUGUAACCCAUUUUGGUUGCAAAAAUUGGGAAGCACUUUGCAAGAUGUAUGAUUUUUAUGAGGGUAUGCUUGUCACCAUGGAUAUUGGUGAUCCUGACAUCGACCAAGACAAUAUGUACAUUUGGGUCCUUAUUGAUACACUUCCAAUUCUAUCGCUAUGUGAGUUUCUCAAACAUAGUUAUUAACUAUUUUAUAUUGUUCAUUUCAAAAUAUAUAGUUGAAAGCUUAUUUCCAUUGACAUCUUAUCUUCAUUGUUCAAACUAUGUGCGGAACAUGGUAGACAUAACCUACUACACCGAUGACUCUGAGUUAACUUAUCAGGAGAAAAAUCAUUUGGUCGCAUUUUGUACUGAUCUUGAGAAUUACAAUAUCUAUUAUAAAACUCCUCCACAUUAUGGUCAAUACAUGCCACUAGUGCACAUGUUGAACUAUGGUAACAUCCAUGGAGAUGCCAUGGUAAGAUUUUUUUACUACUACGACAUCCGUGCAUCUUGUGCAUAAAUUCUUUUAAAACAUUAACUACAUUUCUAACUACGAAGUUAUUACUAUGUUUUUCAACAGAAAAUCCUGAAUGAUUAUGUGACUCAUCUGAUGUAUUAGAAUGGUCGCCUUGAUGUUUUGAACAUACGGCCAGGUCAUCCUACGAAUCUCACCUGUCCAUAUCAGAUCUCUAAAAGAAGUGGAGACAUGAAAAUCACAAAAUAGAAAAAAUGUAUGGACAGUCGUAAGAAGGUUCUUGGAAGUAAAAGAAAGCGAAGCACAAGAAUUGGAGACAGGAUGAUCUCCAUUCUCCAUAAUGGAGAGUCAGGGCCUAUGUUGUUUUAUGCUAUUUUACCUUAAAGAGGGUAUUUAGGUCCUACCUAAUACUGAUGAUCAUGUGCUAAGAACAAUUAAGUUGGGUUGAUUCGAUGACUAUGAGGAUGAUGAUCAUAUGACUUGUUAUUAAUAACGAGUAGAAGUUGUAUGAUGAUGAUUAGUAGGACUUGUUAUUAUGGUGAUGCAUGAUGCGAGCAUGAAGAGUUUUUAUGUAUCAGUGGGUGAAAUGAACAUGGAUUGGAUUGAAGUGAAGGCAACAUAUGAUGCAUGUCGAAAGUAGUACUAAUCCAAACUUGAUGAAGUUAGAAUAUUAGUAUUAUUUUUGACAUGCACCACACAUGUUGCCUUCACUUCAAUCUAAGCCAUGUUUAGGCAUAGCAGUAGUGUUGGUAAACCAAGCACGGAGAUAAGAGAUAACACUUCUCUCUAUUAGCUAGCUAACACCCUAAAUUAACCCCCCCAAAACCAUCCUCUUUUAAAAAAAACAAAAACCUCAGCUCCUGCCAGCUGCUGAUGCGUGGAUGUUUUUUGGUCCCGGUUGGUGCUACCAGCCGGGACCAAAGGCCCUCCUGCCCGGGCUCGCCGCAGCGGCCACAUGGAGGCCUAUCUGUCCCGGUUGGUGUAAGAACUGGGACUAAAGGUAUAGGGCUUUAGUAUCGACCCUUUAGUACCGGUUCCCCAACCAGGACAAAUGGGCCCUAUGAACCGGGACAAAUGGCCCUUUUUCUACUAGUGGAGUCCUUGUUGAUCGAAUAGCUUGAUGGCUAUUACUGCAUGUUUUUGUUGCUGCAUAUGGUUUUGAGGUUUUUUUGUGUGCUUGCAGAUUAGUUAUCACUGGUCGCAGCGGCACCCUCACAACAUAUGAUUCCCAGGCGAUAAAAUUACCGACAUCCUGAUUCGGCAGUCAUUUGAUAAGUUUGUUUGUUGUCAAUCACGUUGGAUUAUUGAAAUUUGAAGGUUCUGAAGUAAAAACUUGGACCUGCUUGUGUGUCCUCUCCAAAACAUGGAAAUGGCAUUCUAUUUUUUUGGAAAUGAAUGUCCAUUAGAUUUUUACUUUUUGUGCAUCAUGACCGAAGGUGCCAAUUAUUAGUAACGUUGGGCUAGGUAGUAUUGACCCCACAUUAAUUCGAGGGUCACCUCACCAAGAUUGGUUAUAGUGAUUUUAGAAGCAUUGAUGUUUAUCCUAAAUCUCUCCGUCCGAUCUUUAAUUUAGCAUAUUUGUAUCCAUUAGGUAAAACUGAAUGGAUUUACUAUAAUAUGGUCUUAUUCUAUGUACAAUCAAGAAUGGACGUGGAUAGACAGCGCUCGUGCGCUCGAUAGACCGUCUGGGCAGACUUUCCAUAUAAAGCAAAUAUAGUUCGAUCAAACAUCCAAGACAUAAACAAUAGAAAAAAGCACCCGGUCCCCACAUCUGCGUGCAUCCUCAACACCAUGAUUUCUCAGACAAGAUUCAUGUGCAUUUAUUUGGGCUUUCAAAAUUUUAAAAAGCUGUAACUUUUGAUUUGGGUGUCAGUUUUUAGAUCCGUUUUCACCAUUGGGUUUCUCGUGACGAAUUCUUCAAAACUAGAUCUCAUAUGUUUAUGUUUCCAUGAAACUUUUUUAGAGCAACUUUGGAUGCUACAAAGGCAACUUUAGUACUAUAAGAAAGCAACUUCUUAGUGUUCCUAAUAUAACUCCCUACCAAUGGAAAGUCCUUAUAUAGUGGGCUACCAUGACUAUUAAGUUAACUAUAUUCACCUCUAAGUUGCGUACCAUAACACUAUGAUUCAAAUUGUAGACUACUCGAGCAACGAUGGACAACUAUUCGUAAUACUGUAGGCAACUGAUUAGCGAUGAGAUGAUGUUGGGCAUCAUUGGUAGGUGAUACGUCUUCGUCGUAUAUAUAAUUUUUGAUUGUUCCAUGCUAAUAUUCUACAACUUUUAUAUACUUUUCGCAACUUUUUAUACUAUUUUUGAGACUAACAUAUUGACCCAGUGCCUAGUGCCAGUUCCUGUUUGUUGCAUGUUUUUUGUUUCGCAGAAUAUCCAUAUCAAACGGAGUCCAAACGGGAUAAAAACUGACGGAGAUUUUUUUUUGGAAUAUUUAUGAUUUUUGGGAAGAAAAAUCCACGCGAUACGGUGCCUGAGGUGGCCACGAGGUAGGGGGGCGCGCCUGCCCCCCCUAGGCGCGCCCCUGACCCUCGUGGGCCACCCGUAAGGCAGUUGGUGCCCUUCUUUCGCCACAAGAAAGCUAAUAUCCGAAUAGAGAUCGUGUCAAAAUUUCAGCCCAAUUGGAGUUACGGAUCUCCGAGAAUAUAAGAAACAGUGAAAGGGAAGAAUCUGAGAACGGAGAAACAGAGAGAGAGAUCCAAUCUCGGAGGGGCUCUUGCCCCUCCCGUGCCAUGGAGGCCAUGGACCAGAGGGGAAACUCUUCUCCCAUCUAGGGAGGAGGUCAAGGAAGAAGAAGAAGAAGGAGGGGGGCUCUCUCUCCCUCGCUUCCGGUGGCACCGGAGUGCCACCGGGGGCCAUCAUCAUCACCGCAAUCUUCACCAACAACUUCACCGCCAUCAUCACCAACUCUUCCCCCCUCUAUGCAGCGGUGUAACCUCUCUCUUACCCGCUGUAAUCUCUACUUAAACAUGGUGCUCAACGCUAUAUAUUAUUUCCCAAUGAUGUAUGGCUAUCCUAUGAUGUUUCAGUAGAUCUGUUUUGUCCUAUGGGUUAUUUGAUGAUCGUGAUUGGUUUGAGUUGCAUGUUUAAUUAUUGGUGCUGUCCUAUGGUGCUCUCCGUAUCGCGCAAGCGUGAGGGAUCCUCACUGUAGGGUGUUGCAAUAAGUUCAUGAUUCGCUUAUAGUGGGUUGCAUGAGUGACUGAAACACAAACCCGAGUAAGGGGGUUGUUGCGUAUGGGAUAAAGAGGACUUGAUGCUUUAAUGCUAUGGUUGAGUUUUACCUUAAUGAUCUUUAGUAGUUGCGGAUGCUUGCUAGAGUUCCAAUCAUAAGUGCAUAUGAUCCAAGUUGAGAAAGUAUGUUAACUUAUGCCUCUCCCUCAUAUAAAAUUGCAAUAAUGAUUACCGGUCUAGUUAUCGGUUGUCUAGGGACAAAUAACUUUCUCGUAACAACAAGCUCUCUACUAAAACUAACUUAGUUGUGUCUUUAUCUAAGCAGCCCCUACUUUUUAUUUACAUGCUCUUUAUUACCUUGCAAACCUAUCCAACAACACCUACAAAGUACUUUUAGUUUCAUACUUGUUCUAGGUAAAGCGAACGUCAAGCGUGUGUAGAGUUGUAUCGAGGGUCGAUAGAACUUGAGGGAAUAUUUGUUCUGCCUUUAGCUCCUCGUUGGGUUUGACACUCUUACUUAUCGAAAACUGUUGCGAUCCCCUAUACUUGUGGGUUAUCAAGACCUUUUUCUAGUGCCGUUGCCGGGGAGCAAUAGCGUGGGUGGAAUAUUCUCGUGUGUGCUUAUUUGCUUUAUCACUAAGUAAUUUUUAUUUGCUAUUCUUAGUUGUUCUCUAUUUUUAGCUAUGGAUAUGGAACACGAAAUACCAAAAAAAUUAGAUGUACUUUCUGCUCAUGGAGAUGGGGAACCUCCUAAAACCGUCGAUGCUGGUUAUGUGAAAGAUAUUAUGUACUACUUUAAUAAUCCUGAGAAAACCCCAUUUAAUUAUGUAAUGGAAGUAACAUUGGAUCAACGUGAAUACUUUCGGGAUUAUCGCUUGACACAAAAAGGGAAACUAUUAUGGGAUCAAAUUCAUAUAUUGAAGUGGUAUGCUUGGCAAUUAUGCGUGAGUUAUGAUUAUACUUGUUGCUCUAGGAUGAAGGCUCCACACCUUCCCUUUUCAUGCAAAUUCAAUGAUAAUAAAACCUUAGCUUCUUAUGCUAAUGGUAUAUAUGAUUACUAUGAUGUGGAACAAAUAGAAGAAUUUGUUGUUUUUAUGGGUGCUUAUGAAAUUGAAUCUAUGUGUAAAGAGUUUAAAGAUUUUGAUGAUGCUGUUUAUAGAUCUGAAAAUUUAGCUAUCCUCAAAUAUUGCUAUGAGAAUUAUGAAUACAAUUCCGAAAUUAAUGCACUUAUUGAGAAAGUCUCCGCUAUCCAAGAAGAGACUAAUAUUUUGCAGGAGUCUAUGGAAGAAGAAAUUGAUGAAACUGUGAGCUCAUUGGAUGAAAAAGAUGAGGAAGAGAGCGAAGAACAAAAGGAGGAAGAGUGGAUUGAUCACCCGUGCCCACCUUCUAAUGAGAGUAACUCUUCAACUCAUACAUUGUUUAAUUCCCCUUCGUGCUUACCGAAGGAUAAUUGCUAUGAUGACUGUUAUGAUCCCUUGGAUUCUUUUGAAAUAUCCCUUUUUGAUGAUGCUUGUGGCCAAGAUGCCAAUAUGAAUUAUGCUUAUGGAGAUGAACUUGCUAUAGUUCCUUAUGUUAAACAUGAAAUUGUUGCUAUUGCACCCACACAUGAUAGUCCUAUUAUCUUUUUGAAUUCUUCCAACUACACUAUAUCGGAGAAGUUUGCUCUUAUUAAGGAUUAUAUUGAUGGGUUGCCUUUUACCGUUGCACAUGAUGAUUUUGAUAAAUAUAAUAUGCGUGUGCUUACUGCUCCUACUUGCAAUUAUUAUGAGAGAGGAACUAUAUCUCCACCUCUCUAUGCUUCCAAUAUGAUAAAAUUGCAAGAAACUGUUUAUACUAUGCAUUGGCCUUUACUAUGUGUGCAUGAAUUGUUCUUUUAUGACAUGCCGAUGCAUAGGAAGAGAGUUAGACUUCGUUGUUACAUGAUAUAUGUUACUUUGUGCUCACUACUAAAUGCUAAAUCAUUGUUAAUUAAAAUUGGCUUUGAUAUACCUUGGGAUCCGGGUGGAUUCAUUACUUGAGCACUAUAUGCCUAGCUUAAUGACUUUAAAGAAAGCGCUGCCUGGGAGACAAUUCGGAAGUUUUAGAGAGUCAUUUAUUUCUGUUGAGUGCUUUCAUAUAGUUUAAAACAACAAAAAUAAAGAGGGGAACCCAAAAUUUUUUCAAAAAGGAAAGUGAAAGUGAGAAAGACAAGCAUUGUUGAAGUGGGAGAGCUCCUUGAACUUUGUUCAUGCUCACGGCAACUUUGUGAAUCUUGAUUACAGAAAGUUUUCAACAAAAAUAAUUAUCCCCUUGUACAACUCCAUUGUAUUAUAAAAAUAAUGUGCCAAGGUUUGCCUUUAGGAUGUUUACAUUUGCUUGAUGGUUUGUACGGUGCAGGACAGAAACUUUGGCUGUAGUGCGCGAUUUUACAUUUUUAGCUGGAACGUCAAAUGGUUCUGAUUAUUUUUGCAGUGUCUUCCUAUACAAAUUUUUUAUUUUUCCUAAUUUUUGUAGAAUUUUUCAAGUAUCAUAAGUAUGGUGAAUGUUCAGAUUAUUACAGACUGUUCUGUUUUAGACAGAUUCUGUUUUUGAUGCAUAGUUUGCUUGUUUGGAUGAAACUAUCAAUUUGUAUUAGUGGAUUAAGCCAUGAAAAAGUUAUAUUACAGUAGAAACAAUGCAAAAACAAAAUAUGAAUUGGUUUGUAAUAAUACUUAGAGUAGUGAUUUGCUUUAUUAUACUAACGGAUCUUACCGAGUUUUCUGUUGAAGUUUUGUGUGGAUGAAGUGUUCGAUGAUCGAGAAGGUCUCGAUGUGAGAAGAAGGAAGAGAGGCAAGAGCUCAAGCUUGGGGAUGCCCGAGGCACCCCAAGUAAAUAUUCAAGGAGACUCAAGCGUCUAAGCUUGGGUAUGCCCCGAAAGACGUCCCCUCUUUCUUCAACAAGUAUCGGUAUGUUUUCGGAUUCGUUUUGUUCAUGCGAUAUGUGCAAUCUUGGAGCGUCUUUUGCAUUUAGUUUUAAUUUUUCUUUUAUGCACCAUGCUGGUAUGAGAUAGUCCUUGGUUGAUUUAUAGAAUGCUCUUUGCACUUCACUUAUAUCUUUUGAGUAUGGAUUUAUAGAAUGCUUCAUGUGCUUCACUUAUAUCAUUUGAAGUUUGGAUUGCCUAUUUCUCUUUACAUAGAAAACCGCCAUUUGUAGAAUGCUCUUUUGCUUCACUUAUGUUUGUUAGAGCGUGGGCAUAUCUUUUGUAGAAAGAAUUAAACUCUCUUGCUUCACUUAUAUCUAUUUAGAGAGAUGACAGGAACUGGUCAUUCACAUGGUUAGUCAUAAAAUCCUACAUAAAACUUGUAGAUCAUUGAAUAUGAUAUGUUUGAUUCCUUCCAAUAGUUUUGCGAUAUAAAGAUGGUAAUAUUAGAGUCAUGCUAGUGGGUGGUUGUGAAUUGUAGAAAUACUUGUGUUGAGGUUUGUGAUUCCCAUAGCAUGCACGUAUGGUGAACCCUUAUGUAACGAAGUUGGAGCAUGAGGUAUUUAUUGAUUGUCUUCCUUAUGAGUGGCGGUCGGGGACGAGCGAUGGUCUUUUCCUACCAAUCUAUCCCCCUAGGAGCAUGCGUGUAGUACUUUGUUUCGAUGACUAAUAGAUUUUUGCAAUAAGUAUGUGAGUUCUUUAUGACUAAUGUUGAGUCCAUCGAUUAUACGCACUCUCACCCUUCCACCAUUGGUAGCCUCUCUAGUACCGCGCAACUUUCGCCGGUACCAUAAACGCACCAUAUACCUUCCUCAAAACAGCCACCAUACCUACCUAUCAUGGCAUUUCCAUAGCCAUUCCGAGAUAUAUUGCCAUGCAACUUUCAUCGUCAUCAUAUACAUGACUUGAGCAUCCAUUGUCAUAUUGCUUUGCAUGAUCGUAAGAUAGCUAGCAUGAUUCUUUCAUGGCUUGUCUGUUUUUUGAUGUCAUUGCUACGCUAGAUCAUUGCACAUCCCGGUACACCGCCGGAGGCAUUCAUAUAGAGUCAUAUCCUUGUUCUAGAUAUCGAGUUGUAAUAUUGAGUUGUAAGUAAAUAAAAUUGUGAUGAUCAUCAUUAUUAGAGCAUUGCCCCAGUGAGGAAAGGAUGAUGGAGACUAUGAUUCUCCCACAAGUCAGGAUGAGACUCCGGACUUUAAAAUAAAUAAAAGAGGCCAAAGAAGUCCAAAUAAAAAAAGAGGCCAAAGAAGCGCUCCAAAAAAAACAUAAAAAAAUAUGAGAGAAAAAGAGAGAAGGGGCAGUGCUACUAUCCUUUUUCCACACUUGUGCUUCAAAGUAGCACCAUGUUCUUCAUAUAGAGAGUCUCUUGAGUUAUCACUUUCAUAUACUAGUGGGAAUUUUCAUUAUAGAACUUGGCUUGUAUAUUCCAACGAUGGGCUUCCUCAAAUGCCCUAGGUCUUCAUGAGCAAGUAGGUUGGAUGCACACCACUUAGUUUCAGUUUUGUCUUCUCCACAACCAAUGCUACCUAGUGCAUCCGUUGCAUGGCAAUCCCUACUCACUCACAUUGAUAUCUAUUAAUGGGCAUCUCCAUAGCCCGUUGAUAGCCCAUUGAUUCCACCUAUAGUGUUAUGUCCAUGGCUCACGCUCAUGUAUUGCGUGAAAGUUGAAAAGGUUUGAGAACGUCAAAAGUAUGAAACAAUUGCCUGGCUUGUCGUCGGAGUUGUGCAUGAUGUGAGUAUUUUGUGUGGUGAAGAUGGAGCAUAGCCAGACUAUAUGAUUUUGUAGGGAUAACUUUCUUUGGCCUUGUUAUUUUGAAAAGACAUGAUUUCUUUAUUAGUGGGCUUGAAGUAUUAUUGUUUUUAUGUCAAAUGAUAGACUAUUGCUUUGAAUCACUCGUAUCUUAAUAUUCAUGCCAUGAUUAGAUAUGUGAUCAAGAUUAUGCUAGGUAGCAUUCCACAUCAAAAAUUAUCUUUUCUAUCAUUGACCUACUCGAGGACGAGCAGGAAUUAAGCUUGGGGAUGCUGAUACGUCUCCGUCGCAUCUAUAAUUUUUGAUUGUUCCAUGCCAAUAUUCUACAACUUUCAUAUACUUUUGGCAACUUUUUAUACUAUUUUUGGGACUAACAUAUUGAUCCAGUGCCCAGUGCCAGUUCCUGUUUGUUGCAUGUUUUUUGUUUCGCAGAAUAUCCAUAUCAAACGGAGUCCAAACAGGAUAAAAACCGACGGAGAUUUUUUUAGAAUAUUUAUGAUUUUUGGGAAGAAAAAUCCACGCGAGACGGUGCCCGAGGUGGCCACGAGGUAGGGGGGCGCACCUGUCCCCUGUGCGCGCCCCUGACCCUCGUGGGCCACCUGUAAGGCGGUUGGUGCCCUUCUUUCGCCGCAAGAAAGCUAAUAUCCGGAUAGAGAUCGUGUCAAAAUUUCAGCCCAAUCGGAGUUACAGAUCUCCGGAAAUAUAAGAAACAGUGAAAGGGAAGAAUCUGAGAACGCAGAAACAGAGAGAGACAGAGAGACAGAUCCAAUCUCGGAGGGGCUCUCGCCCCUCUCGUGCCAUGGAGGCCAUGGACCAGAGGGGAAACCCUUCUCCCAUCUAGAGAGGAGGUCAAUGAAGAAGAAGAAGGAUGGGGGCUCUCUCUCCCUCGCUUCCGGUGGCACCGGAGUGCCACCGGGGGCCAUCAUCAUCACCACAAUCUUCACCAACAAUUUCACCGCCAUCAUCACCAACUCUUCCCCCCUCUAUGCAGCGGUGUAACCUCUCUCUUACCCGCUGUAAUCUCUACUUAAACAUGGUGCUCAACGCUAUAUAUUAUUUUCCAAUGAUGUAUUGCUAUCCUAUGAUAUUUGAGUAGAUCUGUUUUGUCCUAUGAGUUAUUUGAUGAUCGUGAUUGGUUUGAGUUGCGUGUUUUAUUAUUGGUGCUGUCCUAUGGUGCUCUCCGUGUUGCGCAAGCGUGAGGGAUCCUCGCUAUAGGGUGUUGCAAUACAUUCAUGAUUCGCUUUAGUGGGUUGCGUGAGUGACUGAAACACAAACCCGAGUAAGGGGGUUGUUGCGUAUGGGAUAAAGAGGACUUGAUGCUUUAAUGCUAUGGUUGGGUUUUACCUUAAUGAUCUUUAGUAGUUGCGGAUGCUUGCUAGAGUUCCAAUCAUAAGUGCAUAUGAUCCAAGUAGAGAAAGUAUGUUAGCUUAUGCCUCUCCCUCAUAUAAAAUUGCAAUAAUGAUUAUUGGUCCAGUUAUCGAUUGCCUAGGGACAAAUAACUUUCUCGUAACAACAAGCUCUCUACUAAAACUAACUUAGUUGUGUCUUUAUCUAAACAACCCCUACUUUUUAUUUACAUGCUCUUUAUUACCUUGCAAACUUAUCCAACAACACCUACAAAGUACUUCUAGUUUCAUACUUGUUCUAGGUAAAACGAACGUCAAGCGUGCGUAGAGUUGUAUCGGUAGUCGAUAGAACUUGAGGGAAUAUUUGUUCUGCCUUUAGCUCUUCGUUGGGUUCGACACUCUUACUUAUCAAAAACUGUUGCGAUCCCCUAUACUUGUGGGUUAUCAAGAGUAGGCAACUCGUUAGCAAUAUCUAGUAACCUUAUAGCACCCAUCAUAGGCAACUAACUAUUAAUGACAGCCAACUGAGCAUCAAUGAUAGACAACUUCAUAGUAUUAGUGGGAAUUUAGAAACAAUGACAUACAAGUUUCAAUGGUAUGCAACCUAGAAGUAGUAGUGAGUAAGUCAGGAGAAUGUUAAACAGAAUUAUCUAGAAUACGAAAUGUAGUUAAGUUGCCUAUUUUAAUAACUUGAGUUGUCUCUCGUAGAAGAAAAGUUGCUUAUGAAAAGUGAUGUGAUAUGAUCGACCUCUGUUUUGAAGUUGUUCACCGUUGUUGACUAGUUGCACAUCAUUGACUACUGGAUUCUUUUAAUGGAGGGAAGUUGUCUACCUUUUUUAGCACUAAUCCUAAUUUAAUCGUCAUUUACGUUGUAGGCAACUUCGAAGAAAACUAGGAGAAUUUUUUACCGCCUUUUUUACAAAACAUGGAUAUGCGAUAAUAGGUUUGUGUAUGCAUAAUAUAUGUUGUAUGCACCUUCAUAACAUGAGUUGCUUUCUUUAGUGCUGAAGUUGCCUCUAUGUAAUGCCAAAGUUGCCUACUGUUGAUGCUUAGUUGCCUAUAUAUGAUGAAAAUUUGUUUGGCAUGGUUUUUAUGCUAUCAACAAUAUACUUGCUAGAUAAAUCCAGUAGUACACGCGACGCAAGGAAGUUGCUUCUGUUUAUCACAUAAGUUGCCCAUAUGAAACCAAAGUUGCUUCUAAAAAAAUUCAUUAAAACAAGUCCAUAUGUGAUCUAGUUUUGAAGAUCUCGUCGCGAGAAACCUAAUGGUGAAAAGAGAUCUUAAUUUGGACGCCCAGUUCACAAGUUAUAGCUUUUAAAAAAACUGAGAUAGAAUAAAGUGGGAUGAUGUCAGCACAUGCAUGCAACUAAUCUUUAUGGACCAACCACCACUAUACUAUGCCAAACAUAAUUGCACAUCACAAGUGUGGACCAUUACCCCUUACGUGUAGCCGUCAAUUCAAAACAGACGGCCAGCGUGAGGGUACGCUCGACACAGCGAGAUAGCGCAGCUGCACUAUUAAGUAAUUAGGAUGAAGAAUAUGUUUGUUUAACCCCGUCGCACCUUUCCUUUGUCAUGGAAUAUGCUGCCGGUGGAGAACUUUGAAUGUGCACUACAUUACAAUCCCGUGAGAUGUGGUCCCACUUCAAUCUGCUUACUUUGUUAGAUCAUCAGGCUAUCUUUAUUUUGAACCAUCUCGGCUAACAAUGCAUGUAAUCUUGGAAUAUGUUUGAUAUGUGUGUCAAUAGCCAAGGUACUUCUUGCAGCAACUACUUUCAAGGGUUAGCUAAGUGCCAUUCAAAGGAAACAGAUGCAAAACCCAAUGGCCUAAGAUUUUAAAAUGCAAAAUGCCCUCAUGGCUGGGAUCCCAACCCAGUGAAAAAUUACUCAAGGGUGCUAAUAUUAUUAUUAUGUCAACUCCAACGUGCUUACUGAUGAUUGUACUAACUCUCUUGUACGUUAUAUGUUAGUAUUGUUUUGUGUUAUUUUUGCUAUUUGGUUCCUAACAUUUCGACCCGCAAAUAGAAUGUAGAUUACCUGAUUUUGAUUAUGCCUACUAAAUAUGUCUUGAUGUUGAAGCAACUGAAUGUGUAUGCCCUCGUGCAACGCACAUGCAAUUAACUAGUCUUUCUCAAAAUUCGGCCGGAGUUUCUUUAGCAUCUUGUGUUGCAUCCCAAGCAUACGUGUAUGCAUUUCUCAUAAAAAGAAGAAGCAUACGUGUAUGUACGUUCAAUUUUAUGUACCGGAGCUCAAAUGGAAAAUGGAAGAUUGCUCGGCGCCUUUAUUUCAUUUAAAAUUUUCCAUUUAAUUUUAUCUAUUUUUUCUUGUUUAAAUAAAUAUUAACCUUCUCUUGACAAAUAUAUACAAAUACUUUUUAAAUGCAUGACCACCUUUUAUAAAA